rnacentral:rRNA from 1 species
UACGUAGGGUGUGAGCGUUAAUCGGAAUUACUGGGCGUAAAGCGAGCGCAGACGGUUUAUUAAGCAAGAUGUGAAAUCCCCGAGCUUAACUUGGGAACUGCGUUUUGAACUGGUAAGCUAGAGUAUGUCAGAGGGGGGUAGAAUUCCACGUGUAGCAGUGAAAUGCGUAGAGAUGUGGAGGAAUACCGAUGGCGAAGGCAGCCCCCUGGGAUAAUACUGACGUUCAUGCUCGAAAGCGUGGGUAGCAAACAGG